GAUGAACGCUGGUGGCGUGCCUAAUACAUGCAAGUCGAGCGAACGGACGAGAAGCUUGCUUCUCUGAUGUUAGCGGCGGACGGGUGAGUAACACGUGGAUAACCUACCUAUAAGACUGGGAUAACUUCGGGAAACCGGAGCUAAUACCGGAUAAUAUUUUGAACCGCAUGGUUCAAAAGUGAAAGACGGUCUUGCUGUCACUUAUAGAUGGAUCCGCGCUGCAUUAGCUAGUUGGUAAGGUAACGGCUUACCAAGGCAACGAUGCAUAGCCGACCUGAGAGGGUGAUCGGCCACACUGGAACUGAGACACGGUCCAGACUCCUACGGGAGGCAGCAGUAGGGAAUCUUCCGCAAUGGGCGAAAGCCUGACGGAGCAACGCCGCGUGAGUGAUGAAGGUCUUCGGAUCGUAAAACUCUGUUAUUAGGGAAGAACAUAUGUGUAAGUAACUGUGCACAUCUUGACGGUACCUAAUCAGAAAGCCACGGCUAACUACGUGCCAGCAGCCGCGGUAAUACGUAGGUGGCAAGCGUUAUCCGGAAUUAUUGGGCGUAAAGCGCGCGUAGGCGGUUUUUUAAGUCUGAUGUGAAAGCCCACGGCUCAACCGUGGAGGGUCAUUGGAAACUGGAAAACUUGAGUGCAGAAGAGGAAAGUGGAAUUCCAUGUGUAGCGGUGAAAUGCGCAGAGAUAUGGAGGAACACCAGUGGCGAAGGCGACUUUCUGGUCUGUAACUGACGCUGAUGUGCGAAAGCGUGGGGAUCAAACAGGAUUAGAUACCCUGGUAGUCCACGCCGUAAACGAUGAGUGCUAAGUGUUAGGGGGUUUCCGCCCCUUAGUGCUGCAGCUAACGCAUUAAGCACUCCGCCUGGGGAGUACGACCGCAAGGUUGAAACUCAAAGGAAUUGACGGGGACCCGCACAAGCGGUGGAGCAUGUGGUUUAAUUCGAAGCAACGCGAAGAACCUUACCAAAUCUUGACAUCCUUUGACAACUCUAGAGAUAGAGCCUUCCCCUUCGGGGGACAAAGUGACAGGUGGUGCAUGGUUGUCGUCAGCUCGUGUCGUGAGAUGUUGGGUUAAGUCCCGCAACGAGCGCAACCCUUAAGCUUAGUUGCCAUCAUUAAGUUGGGCACUCUAAGUUGACUGCCGGUGACAAACCGGAGGAAGGUGGGGAUGACGUCAAAUCAUCAUGCCCCUUAUGAUUUGGGCUACACACGUGCUACAAUGGACAAUACAAAGGGCAGCGAAACCGCGAGGUCAAGCAAAUCCCAUAAAGUUGUUCUCAGUUCGGAUUGUAGUCUGCAACUCGACUACAUGAAGCUGGAAUCGCUAGUAAUCGUAGAUCAGCAUGCUACGGUGAAUACGUUCCCGGGUCU
rnacentral:rRNA from 1 species